ensembl:snRNA U6 U6 spliceosomal RNA
AUACUCUCUUCAGCAGCACAUAUACUAAAAUUGGAAUGAUGCUUAGGUUAGCAUGGCCCCUGGCAAGGAUGACACACAAAUUAGUGAACCAUCCCAUACUUAG